rnacentral:rRNA from 1 species
GAGUUUGAUCAUGGCUCAGAACGAACGCUGGCGGCAGGCUUAACACAUGCAAGUCGAACGGACGUAGCAAUACGUUAGUGGCGCACGGGUGAGUAACGCGUGGAUAUCUGCCUUUUGGUUCGGGAUAACCUUGGGAAACUAGGGCUAAUACCGAAUGGUUCCUACGGGAUAAAGAUUUAUCGCCAAAAGAUGAGUCCGCGUCCGAUUAGCUAGUUGGUGUGGUAAUGGCGCACCAAGGCGACGAUCGGUAGCUGGUCUGAGAGGACGAUCAGCCACACUGGGACUGAGACACGGCCCAGACUCCUACGGGAGGCAGCAGUGGGGAAUAUUGGACAAUGGGGGCAACCCUGAUCCAGCCAUGCCGCGUGAGUGAUGAAGGCCUUC